rnacentral:rRNA from 1 species
GACGAACGCUGGCGGCGUGCUUAACACAUGCAAGUCGAACGGUGAAGCUCCAGCUUGCUGGAGUGGAUCAGUGGCGAACAGGUGAGUAACACGUGAGCAACCUGCCCCUGACUCUGGAAUAAGCGCUGGAAACGGCGUCUAAUACUGGAUACGAGAAGGGUCCGCAUGGGCACUUUCUGGAAAAUUUUUCGGUUGGGGCUGGGCUCGCGGCCUAUCAGCUUGUUGGUGAGGUAAUGGCUCACCAAGGCGACGACGGGUAGCCGGCCUGAGAGGGCGACCGGCCACACUGGGACUGAGACACGGCCCAGACUCCUACGGGAGGCAGCGGUGGGGAAUAUUGCACAAUGGGCGAAAGCCUGAUGCAGCGACGCCGCGUGAGGGAUGACGGCCUUCGGGUUGUAAACCUCUUUCAGCAGGGAAGAAGCGAAAGUGACGGUACCUGCAGAAGAAGCACCGGCUAACUACGUG